UACGGGGGGGCGAAGCGUUGUUCGGAAUUACUGGGCGUAAAGGGCUCGUAGGUGGCCAACUAAGUCGGACGUGAAAUCCCUGGGCUCAACCCAGGAACUGCGUCCGAUACUGGUGCUUGAAUCCGGGAGAGGGAUGCGGAAUUCCCGGUGUAGCGGUGAAAUGCGCAGAUAUCGGGAGGAACACCUAUUGCGAAGGCAGCUCGCUGGGACGUUACUGACGCUGAGACGCGAAAGCGUGGGGAGCAAACAGG
rnacentral:rRNA from 1 species